AGUUCGAUUAUGGCUCAGAUUGAACGCUGGCGGGAUGCUUUACACAUGCAAGUCGAACGGCAGCACGGACUUCGGUCUGGUGGCGAGUGGCGAACAGGUGAGUAAUGUAUCGGAACGUGCCUAGUAGCGGGGGAUAACUACGCGAAAGCGUAGCUAAUACCGCAUACGCCCUUCGGGGGAAAGCGGGGACCUUCGGGCCUCGCACUAUUAGAGCGGCCGAUAUCGGAUUAGCUAGUUAGGGUGAGGUAACGGCUCGCAAGGCGACGAUCCGUAGCUGGUUUGAGAGGACGACCAGCCACACUGGGACUGAGACACGGCCCAGACUCCUACCAGGAGGCAGCAGUGGGGAAUUUUGGACAAUGGGGAAACCCUGAUCCAGCCAUCCCGCGUGUGCGAUGAAGGCCUUCGGGUUGUAAAGCACUUUUGGCAGGAAAGAAACGGCACGGGAUAAUACCCCGUGCAACUGACAGUACCUGCAGAAUAGCCGCACCGGCUAACUACGUGCCAGCAGCCGCGGUAAUACGUAGGGUGCAAGCGUUAAUCGGAAUUACUGGGCGUAAAGCGUGCGCAGGCGGUUCGGAAAAGAAAGAUGUGAAAUCCCAGAGCUUAACUUUGGAACUGCAUUUUUAACUACCGAGCUAGAGUGUGUCAGAGGAGGUGGAAUUCCGCGUGUAGCAGUGAAAUGCGUAUUAGAUAUGCGGAGGAACACCGAUGGCGAGAGCGGCACUCCUGGGAUAACACUGACGCUCAUGCACGAAAGCGUGGGGGGGCAAACAGGAUUAGAUACCUGGUAGUCCACGCCCUAAACGAUGUCAACUAGCUGUUGGGGCCUUCGGGCCUUGGUAGCGCAGCUAACGCGUGAAGUUGACCGCCUGGGGGCUUACGGUCGCCAAGAUUAAAACUCAAAGGAAUUGACGGGGACCCGCACAAGCGGUGGAUGAUGUGGAUUAAUUCGAUGCAACGCGAAAAACCUUACCUACCCUUGACAUGUCUGGAAUCCCGAAGAGAUUUGGGAGUGCUCGCAAGAGAACCGGAACACAGGUGCUGCAUGGCUGUCGUCAGCUCGUGUCGUGAGAUGUUGGGUUAAGUCCCACAGCGAGCGCAACCCUUGUCAUUAGUUGCUACGAAAGGGCACUCUAAUGAGACUGCCGGUGACAAACCGGAGGAAGGUGGGGAUGACGUCAAGUCCUCAUGGCCCUUAUGGGUAGGGCUUCACACGUCAUACAAUGGUCGGGACAGAGGGUCGCCAACCCGCGAGGGGAGCCAAUCCCAGAAACCCGAUCGUAGUCCGGAUCGCAGUCUGCAACUCGACUGCGUGAAGUCGGAAUCGCUAGUAAUCGCGGAUCAGCAUGUCGCGGUGAAUACGUUCCCGGGUCUUGUACACACCGCCCGUCACACCAUGGGAGUGGGUUUUACCAGAAGUAGUUAGCCUAACCGUAAGGGGAGGGCGAUUACCACGGUAGGAUUCAUGACUGGGGUGAAGUCGUAACAAGGUAG
rnacentral:rRNA from 1 species